UAUCUCAAAACAAACAAACAAACAAAAAAACGCACAAUUUGAAAGAAUUAUUUCUGGAAUUUUUUCAUUUGAUAUUUUUGUACCACGGGUGACCAUGGCUAGCUCAAACUACAAAAAGUAAAACUGCGGAUAAAAGAAGACUACUUUUGAUGCCUUGGGGCCAUGGAGAACAAAAGAAAGCUAAGUGGUUUGUGGUAGCACCAGAGAAUUGACAGUGCUGCGGAUGGAGGCUGGUGUAGCUCAGCAUAAUUGGGAGAAAGUGCCUGGCUCAUGACUUGUUGUUUGGGAGGGGAAGAGAAGAAUGGAAUAUAUAUCCCGUAUUCUGGCUUUUCAGGGGCCUACCAGAGGGACUGGUGUCAGUCUUGGCUGACCCACAGCGCUGACGGAGAUGGCCUCACACUUCCGAACAAGAUAGCUCAGCAGCUUGUUGCAGCACUGGAGAAUCUGUAAUACCACAGACAGACACUAGAGGGAGGAAGAGAUUGGGAGCUCUUGAGAAAGAAACUGGUAAAGCCCUCUAAUUUGGAAAUCACAAGCCCUCUAAUUUGGAAAUCACAUGCAUAAGCUCAGAGAAGACAUAUCCUUGGAAAAGAUUUGAGGGACCUCCAGAAUCUCUAGUUGAGAGUCCAUUUGUGAAAGUCUUCCCUGUACCAUGUCUGUCCAUAAAGACUGAGAUAAGUGGAUGUGUCUUUAAAUGUACGAAAUACAACGAAAACAACAAGAUACAAAGUAAACCAGGGAAACAUGGCAUAAUCAAAGGAUCAGAAUAAAUCUACAGAAGCAGACCCUAAAGAAACAGAAAUGUACGCAUUACCUGACAAAGAAUUUGAAAUAAUUGUCUUAAGGGAUCUCAAGGCACUGCAAGAGAACACAGAUAAUUAAAUGAAAUCAGGAAAACAAUACAUGAACGAAAUGAGAAUAUCAACAAAGAUAUAGAAUAAAUGAGAACCAAGCAGAUAUUCUGGAGCUAAAAAACCACAAUAACUGAAAUGAAAAACUUACUCGAGUGGUUCAGCAGUAGAUUUGAUCAAACAGAAUAAAGAGUCAGAAAACUUGUACACAAAUCAUUUGAAAUUAUUAAGUCAGAAAAAAAAAAGAAUAAAGGAAAGUAAAGAAAGCCUAAGACACUUGUGGAACAACAUCAUGUGGAACGGUAUACACAUUAUGGUAGUUCUAGAAUAAGAGAGAAAGGGGCAAAGAACUUAUUUGAAGAAAUAAUGGUAAAAACUUCCCAAAUAUUUGGAAGGAAUUUGAUAUCCUAAUUUAAGAAGCUCAAAGGACUCCAAAGAAUGAACCCAAAGAGGCCCACACCAACAUAAACAAAAAUUCGAAUUGUCAGAAGUUAAAGACAGAAUGUUGAAAGCAGCAAGAAAAAAGUAGCUUGUCAUAUAGAAGGAAGGUUCCAGAAGAUUGUCAGUGGAUUUCUCAGCAUAAUUACAGGCCAGAAGGGAGUGGGAUGAUACAUUCAAAGAGCCAGAGAGGAAACAAAACAAAACAAAAAUCCCUUCCAACUAACAAUACUUUAUCUGGGCUAAAUCAUUCUUCACAAAUGAAGAAGUAAAGAUACUCUCAGAUGAACAAAAGCUGAAGAAGUUCAUCACCACUAGACUUGCCUUACAAGAAUUGCUAAAGGGAAUCCUUCAAGCUGAAAUGAAAGGAUAUUAAACAGCAACAUGAAAGCAUACAAAAAUAUAAAGCCUUCUGGUAAAUGUAAAUAUACAGACAAAUUUAAAAUCUUAUAAUACUGUGUCAUAUAGUACAGUUGUACCUCAGUAUCCACGGAGGAUUGAUUCCAGGACUCCCCACACAUACCAAAAUCUACAGAUGCUCCAGUUCCACACCAAACAAAUGGUCAAUCUUUGGGUUCUACAUCCUGCAAAUACUAUAUUUUUGAUCCAUGAUUAGUUGAACCCAUGGAUAUAGAACACAUAGAUAUAGAGGGCUGACUGUAUAUAAAUCAUUUUUAAUUCUUGUAUAGAACUUAAAAGAUAAAAGCAUAAAUAAAAUUAAACUAUGGUGAUAGAUACAAAAUAGAAAAGGAUGUAAUUUGUGACAUUGAUAACAUAAACUGGGGAGGGAGAUGUAAAUGAGUAGAGUUUUAGUAUGUGAUUGAAGUUACCUUGUUAGGUUGUUAUAAUUCUAAGAUGUUUAAUGUAAUCCCCAUGGUAAUAACAAAGAAAAUACCUGUAGGAGAUGCACAACAGAAAAUGAGAAGGAAAUCAAAGCAUGUCACUAUGAAAAAGAUCAAUGAAACACAAAGGAAGGGAAUAAGAGAGGAAAUCAUGAACUGAAUGACUACAAGGUAUAUAGAAAACAACAAAAUGUCAAUAGUAAGUCCUUCUCUAUCAGUAAUUAGGUGAACAUGAAUUAAACACCCCAUUCAAAUGAUGUGAAGUAGCAAACUAGAUCAGAAAACAAGAUCCAACUAUAUCCUAGCUAUAUUCUGUCACUUGAGUUACAAGGAUAUACAUAGACUGAAAAUGAAAAGAUGGAAAAAUAUAUAUCAUGUAAAUGGUAACCAAAAUAGAGCAGGUAUAGCCAUACUUAUAUCAGAAAACUAUCAAAAGAGACAAAGAAAAAGAUUAUAUAAUAGUCAAAGAGUCAAUUCGCUGGGGAGAUACAACAAUUACAAUAAUAUAUAUACUUAACAACAGAGCAUCCAAAUAUAUGAAGCAAACACCAAUAGAGUUGAAGAGAAAAACAGACAGUAACACAAUAAUAGGAGAUUUCACCACCCCUCCUUCAAUAACAGAUUGAUUAACCAGAUUGAAGAUCAGUAAGAAAAUAGAACUUGAGUAAUGCUGUAGACCAAUUGAACCUAAUUGACAUAUAUAGAACAUUCUGCCCAGUAACAGUAGAAUAUACACUCUCCUCAAGCACAUAUAGAGCAUUCUCUAGGAAAGAUGACAUGAUGGGCCACAGAACAAGUCUUAACAAAUUUAAGAAGACUGAAACCAUAGUACUAUUUUUUCUGACCACAGAGGAAUGGAAAUUAAUAACAAAAGGAAAACUGGAAAAUUCACAAAUAUGUGGAAAUUAACACUCUUAAAAAAUCAAUGGGUCAAAGAACAAAUUACAAGAAACAUAGAAAAUAACUUGAAACAAAUGAAAAUGAAAAAACAGCAUAUCACAACCUAUGGGAUGCAGCAAAAGCAGUUCUAAGCAGGAAGUUUAUAGUGGUAAAGGCCUACGUUAAAAAAGAAGAAGGUGUACAUACUUUUGAAGGAAGAAAAACAAGAAAAGAAGGAUCUCAAAUCAGAAACCUAACUUUACACCUCAGCAACUAGGAAAAGAAGAACAAACGAAACCUAAAAUUAGAAGGGAAAGACUGAUAAAGAUUAGAGUAGAAGUAAAUAAAAUAGAGAAUAGAAAAAAAAUCAAUAAAAUUAAGAGUUGCGUUUUUGUAAAGAUCAGCAAAAUUGACAAUUCCUUAGACUAAGUAAGGAAAAAAGAGGAGACUUAAUAGCAAAAAUCAGGAAUGAAAGAAUAGAAAUUAAAACUGAUACCACAAAAAUUAAAAAGAUUAUGAGACUACUAUGAAUGAUGAUAUGCCAACAGAUUGAAUAACCUAGAAGAAAUAAAUUUCUAAAAAUAUACAACCUUCAUGACUGGAUUAUGAAGAAAUAAAAACAUCUGAACAGAUCUGUAACUAAUAAAGAGAUUGAAUUGGUUAUUCAGAACCUUUCAACAAAGAAAAAAACCAGGACCAGAUGGCUUCACUGGAGAAUUCUAUCAGACAUUUAAAGAAGAAGUAACACCGAUCUUUCUUAAACUCUUCCAAAAAAUUGAAGAAGAGGGAACAUUUCCAAACUCACUUUGUGAGCAAGCAUUACCAUGACACCAAAAUCAGGCAAUGAAACUACAAGAAAACAGACUGAUAUCCUUCAUGAAUCAUGAUGCAAAGAUUCUUAGCUUAAAGUGUAUUCAACAAUACGUUAAGAGGAUUAUAUACCAUGACUGAAUGAAAAUUAUUCCUUGAAUACAAGGAUGGCUCAAUAUACAAAAAUUACUAUAAUGCGCCACAUUGAUAGAAUGAUGAACGGAACCCACCUGAUCAUCUUAAUUAAUGCAGAACUAGGAUAUGACAAAACUCAACACUCACUUAUGGUAAAACAUUCAACAAAUUAGGAAUAGAAGGUGAUGACCUCAAUGUAAUAAAGCAAUAGCAUAUUUGUAUAUAUUUCUAAAUAAUUAGGAACAAGAUCUCUAAGAAAUAUUUGCACACCCAUAUUCAUUGAGUAUUAUUUACAAGAGCCAAGAGGUGGAAGCAACCUAUAUAAUGCCUAUCAGCAAAUGAAUGAAUAAAGAGAAUAUGGUAUCUCUACACGAUGGAAGAUUAUUCCACCUUAGAAAAGAAGUCCUGUCAUAUGCUACAAUGUGGAUGAAACUUAAGGACAUUAUGCAAAGUGAAAUAAACUAGUGACAAAAGGUAAAUACUGCAUGAUUACACUUAUGUGUGGUAUCUAAAGUAGUCAAACUUGUAGAAACAGAAUGUAGAAUAGCGGUUACCUUGGGAUGGGAGGAAGGGGGAAAUGGGAGUUGUUGUUCAAUGAGUAUAGAGUUUUAGUUUUGCAAGAUAUGAAAGUUUUAGAGAUUUGUUGCCCAUAAGGACAUAUAGUGAACACUACUGUACCAUACACUUAAAAAUACUUAAAAUGGUAAAUUUUAUGUUAAUAUGCUUUUCACCACAAUUUAAAACUGGUCUGCGAGCUCUUCUGUGCAUUUUCAGGAAAAUGUAAACUACAACAUCAGUUAGACACAUCCAUUAGGUUAUGCUGAGCUUCAGGAGAGGACAUUUAUGUUCUGAUGGGAACAUAAGUAGGCACAGCCACUUAGCAGAACAAUUUAGUCUUAGAAUUUGGGAUUCCUCAUCAGUCUCUCCAUGAGUGCUUUGGUUACUGUAGCCUCCAAUAAUUGUGGGAGGAUCAAGAGGUGGUGUUAGUUGAGGUUGCCAGUAAAUUGUAUUCUGGGCAUUAGAGUACUCCCAUAUUUUCUGGAGGUUUAUAGCCAUUUGGGACUGGCUUCUCCUUCACAGGCCUCCUUCCUCUUUCCUGUUAGGAGUCAGGACAUUUCUAUUAUCUCUUGCCUAAGGAUAGUGGAUAAGAAGAAAGAGUAGUGUAUAAGGCAGCUUGCUGCCAGGUUGCCCCCUGCUCCUUGAAUUCACCCCCAAAUUAACUCUUACCUUUUAUAGUAGUCCUCUUUUGCAAGCUGUUAGGGCUGUGGUAUUUUCCUUCAAAAAGAUCCCACCUACCUACCAUGUCAAGCUUUUCUCAGAAUUUGUGGAUUAUCAAGAAACCCCCAUUUUACAGUAUUAUAUAUUUAAUUGUAAAAAUUCUUUCAUCGUUUCUAGGAGUUGGGAGUAUAGCAUGAAUGCUAGGACAUUCAUGUCCUUAGUUCGUCGCUUGAUUCAGUCUUUUAGGUUACAUUUCCAUCUUAUUUUCUCUUAGCUAGAUUAUGAGAGUCACUGUUGUUCAUAGGUCUUGCUGUUCAGUCCCCAGGAUGUGUAGCAGUUCUAUAACAGAGCUACUCAAAGUGUGGCCCUGCAAAUCAGCAGCAUCAACAUCCCUGGGGGAGAGGCCAAGAAAUAGGAGUUUUUUUAAAACAUCUUUCCAUACGUACUCAGGAAGUUCGAGAAAUGCUGCUGUAUACUGCUUCUUUAGAAGCAGUUCCCAUAACUGCAUAACAAUCUGAAUACUGUAUGGUGACAUGAUAAAAUUCUAUUUAUGGUUUUUGUUUUUGUUGAUGAAUUCCUUAAUAGUUUAGCUGUAUUAUUUUGUUGAUAAUAGUAAAUUCUCAUGAAGAUAAUUUUUUGUCAAACUAUCCAUAGUGAUCUAUUACGUGUGAACAGUUUGUCUUUUCUCCUCAAAUAUUCACCUUUUCUAAAUUGUACUUCCUGUUCUGUACCACUUUCCUAAGUGGCAGAUAUCCUUUCAACAUUUACCUUCCACAGUGCUUUAUCAUCUUUCUCUUACCACCAUGGUUUUAGAUCUAAAAUUCAUUAAUGUGUUUUUGAGUCCAUCAUCUAAGUUGUUAACAGAAAAGACACAUUUAGCUUGAGCUGUAAAUAUCUUACAUUUUUGGAAUAUAUGAGCUUAACGUGUGGGGUGGUAGAGGGACAUGUGUGGGUGAAGGUGUAUGCUUUGCACAUAGCCUAGCAGAAUAUAUUGCAUAGAAUUAGGGCUGGAUGGAUGUUUGUACAAUGGAAAGGUAGGCCUGAGAGUUGCAUGUGUGUAUCACUCAUGUAGCGUCUGAAAUAAGCAGGCAGGCCUCCAGCCUGACUCAUCAGACCUCCUCCCCAAAAGAUCUCUAAGUACAACCUUUCUCUCAUUAUCUGAAAAGAGGAAAUGAAACGAGUCAGAGAUUAUUUACUAGGUGGAAAGACUGUGGUGCCGAAGACAUUAAUCAAGUAAUGCAGCUCAUGGCUGUAGACUGUAUCUUCUAAUUAGGCUGGAAAUGAUCCAAGAUAAUUUUCCUGAAAAAUUUAAAAAUCUCAUAAAGACAGGUAGUUCUUGGGUGUACCAAAAUUCGGUCAGGCCAACUGAUAGUCUUCCAAAGAACUUCAAGGUGCACACAGUCUUCAUGGCUCCUCUUUUGGUCUGAAGUUUGUCAGAGUGUGGAGAUCCAAGUUUAAGUGGGGAGUUAAGCAACACUUUCCAGAUUGAAUUACACUAAGCAUUAGGUCUUGACUGAUUGCCAGAGCAGCACUUCCAAAUAAUUUCUGCACAGGAAUUCAGCUGCAGAAGGCUAGACAGUAACCAUAUACUGCUGGGAGCAUCCUUCCUGUGUGGCUGUAUUGUAGCUUCCAAACCAUCUGCCUCAAAACACAGGGCUAUGGGAUAAACUGACAAUGCUCAGAGUGUUGUUCCUUUUAGAUGGUUUGUAGCAAAGAACAGGAUAGAAUUUAAACGUUAUGUCACUGAAUUGUUGACUUUACUUGGUGGCAAGUGAAACUCUAUUUAAAACCCUAUGACAACACCAUUUGUCAGGCCUCUAAAAAUAAUGCAAAAAGAAAAUAAGCAAAUUUUCCAACUUAUUUUGUUCCUCUGGAGAUCCGUGCGUCCGAAGUUAUGAGGUCAAUUUCUGUAUUUUCUGUGAGACUUUUUGAAUCUUUGGGAAUGAACUUUAAACACUCAAGUGCUAAAAAAUCAGAAAAAAUAAAUGCCUUCUAGAAGGAAAAAAACAAAAAAAACAG